rnacentral:rRNA from 1 species
CUCAGGAUGAACGCUGGCGGCGUGCUUAACACAUGCAAGUCGAACGGAGCACCUCGGAACAAGUUUUCGGUACAAGGGAAGAGACUGCUUAGUGGCGGACGGGUGAGUAACGCGUGAGGAACCUGCCUUGGAGAGGGGAAUAACAGCUGGAAACGGCUGCUAAUACCGCAUGACACAGUUGGAUCGCAUGGUCCGAUUGUCAAAGNUUUAUCGCUCUGAGAUGGCCUCGCGUCUGAUUAGCUAGUAGGUGGGUAACGGCCCACCUAGGCGACGAUCAGUAGCCGGACUGAGAGGUUGACCGGCCACAUUGGGACUGAGACACGGCCCAGACUCCUACGGGAGGCAGCAGUGGGGAAUAUUGGGCAAUGGGCGCAAGCCUGACCCAGCAACGCCGCGUGAAGGAAGAAGGCUAUAUGGUUGUAAACUUCUGUUGUGAGGGACGAUAAUGACGGUACCUCACGAGGAAGCCCCGGCUAACUACGUGCCAGCAGCCGCGGUAAUACGUAGGGGGCGAGCGUUGUCCGGAAUUACUGGGCGUAAAGGGAGCGUAGGCGGCUUAAUAAGUCAGAUGUGAAAUACCCGGGCUUAACUUGGGGGGUGCAUCUGAAACUGUUGAGCUUGAGUGCGGAAGAGGCAAGUGGAAUUCCUAGUGUAGCGGUGAAAUGCGUAGAUAUUAGGAGGAACACCAGUGGCGAAGGCGGCUUGCUGGGACGUAACUGACGCUGAGGCUCGAAAGCGUGGGGAGCAAACAGGAUUAGAUACCCUGGUAGUCCACGCUGUAAACGAUGAAUACUAGGUGUUGGGGGUAUCAACUCCCUCAGUGCCGCAGCAAACGCAAUAAGUAUUCCGCCUGGGGAGUACGAUCGCAAGAUUGAAACUCAAAGGAAUUGACGGGGCCGCACAGCAGCGGAGCAUGUGGUUUAAUUCGAAGCAACGCGAAGAACCUUACCAAGGCUUGACAUCCUGCUAAACUCAUAGAGAUAUGAGGUCCCUUCGGGGGAGCAGAGACAGGUGGUGCAUGGUUGUCGUCAGCUCGUGUCGUGAGAUGUUGGGUUAAGUCCCGCAACGAGCGCAACCCUUAUCGUUAGUUGCCAGCGAGUAAAGUCGGGGACUCUAGCGAGACUGCCGGGGACAACUCGGAGGAAGGUGGGGACGACGUCAAAUCAUCAUGCCCCUUAUGACCUGGGCUACACACGUGCUACAAUGGCUACAACAAAGAGCAGCGAGACCGCAAGGUGGAGCGAAUCUCAAAAAAGUAGUCUCAGUUCGGAUCGUGGGCUGCAACCCGCCCGCGUGAAGUUGGAGUUGCUAGUAAUCGCGAAUCAGCAUGUCGCGGUGAAUACGUUCCCGGGCCUUGUAC